rnacentral:misc_RNA from 1 species
AAGAUUCUGACCUUCGGGUCUAACUUUUCAGCUGUGCGCUUCGGCUGCACGCUGAUAAAACCUUACACACCUGUGCACAUUUCGGUCGCAAUCCUGCAUGCAGGUUUGCUUCCGCUUUCACAUACAACCACAUGUCUUGAAUGUAAAAAAACUAUAAAAGUAA